rfam:Oesophagostomum dentatum strain OD-Hann O_dentatum-1.0_Cont29608.1, whole genome shotgun sequence.
CGAAAUCUUAUAGUUUCCACAGGGCCUUCAGCAAGACCCGCAGGUAACAAUUUUUGGGAACCCUUGCAAGAGCAAGGGCA